rnacentral:lncRNA from 1 species
GCCCUGUCCUCAACUGUGAAAGGGGAGUGAAAAGCUGCCAGGUGAAGGAAGAAGAUCUUGGGUAAUACAGCCUGGAGCUUCCUUCUGAGAAUGGAAAAUGUGAAUUUGAAUCACACCUAUAGAAGAGACCCUGACCCUCCAGUGAUAGACCAAUAACACAAGCACUGUGACAGCUGACUUUACCGGCAGCUUUGCAUGCUGCUGGAACACUUGGAAACUGGGAAAGGCAGCAGGAGUGGCUGCUCAGAAAGCAAGGAGGAGAGAAGGCCCUGGGGCUUUGCACAGCACAGUCCAAGAUCUGCUUACAGCAUCAUGGGAGCUGUUCAGCUGCAAAAGGCAGGAGUGUCAGGAGACAUCCCUCAUCUAGAUAUUUUGUCACCAGGGAGAAGUGAAGAGGUAAGUUUUAUUUUUUAUGCCAUCUGUACUGUUUUUGUAAGAAAAGUCUUUCCUCAAAAUAGUUUGGCAAUAAAUGUAUUUGAUAGGAGGCUUAAGUGUGGUCUGGGUUUUGUAAAAACUGCAUGUAACAUCCAGAAAGGUGACUGCAUAAUAAUAUUACUAGAAACAGUUAAUGAUAAUAUUUAA